GACGAACGCUGGCGGCGCGCCUAACACAUGCAAGUCGAACGAGCGAGAGAGAUCUUGCUUUCUCGAGCGAGUGGCGAACGGGUGAGUAACGCGUGAGGAACCUGCCUCAAAGAGGGGGACAACAGUUGGAAACGACUGCUAAUACCGCAUAUGCCCACGACCCGGCAUCGGGUAGAGGGAAAAGGAGCGAUCCGCUUUGAGAUGGCCCCGCUUCCGAUUAGCUAGUUGGUGAGGUAACGGCCCACCAAGACGACGAUCGGUAGCCGGACUGUGAGGGUGAACGACCACAGUGGGAGUGAGACACGGCCCAGACUCCUACGGGAGGCAGCAGUGGGGAAUAUUGCACCAUGGAGGAAACCCUGAUGCAGCGACGACGCGUGGAGGAAGAAGGUGUUCGGAUUGUAAACUCCUCUUGUUGAGGAAGAUAAUGACGGUACUCAACAAGGAAGUGACGGCUAACUACGUG
rnacentral:rRNA from 1 species